rnacentral:rRNA from 1 species
UACGUAGGAUGCGAGCGUUAAUCGGAUUUACUGGGCGUAAAGCGUGCGCAGGCGGCCCGUUAAGACAGGUGUGAAAUCCCUGGGCUCAACCUAGGAAUUGCGCUUGUGACUGGCGGGCUCGAGUACGGUAGAGGGGGGUGGAAUUCCUGGUGUAGCAGUGAAAUGCGUAGAGAUCAGGAGGAACACCGAUGGCGAAGGCAGCCCCCUGGGCCUGUACUGACGCUCAUGCACGAAAGCGUGGGGAGCAAACAGG